rnacentral:rRNA from 1 species
UACCCCGGGGAUAACAGGCUGAUCGCAUCCAAGCGUCCACAGCGACGAUGCGGUUUGGCACCUUAACAAACAUUGGGGCGCCCAUGAAAUUGAUUUCAUGUGCCUGGAUAUUUCACACAAGCGUUUAGAGAACGCGUGAGAUAUAAAAUCAACUAGUUAAAAUCGGUGGACGCCAAUAAAUUUGAACACUUAUUGGUCAAUACCGAGGGAAUCAUUCGACGCAAAUUAAUUUUUGCUCAUGACCCGUAUCGACUCGUGUUUGGUUUCAAACGAAUACGGAUAGAAGUUCUUGUUCGAAAGAAUAAAAUCUAUAACUUCUAUAAAAGACUAGCUCCUACGAAUUUGAUGUGUAGGAUGAAGGUAUAGUCAAUGCACUUGGUAACAAGUCGCGAUGUCGGCUCAUCGCAUCCUGGGGCUGGAGAAGGUCCCAAGGGUCGGGCUGUUCGCCCGUUAAAGCGGUACGCGAGCUGGGUUCAGAACGUCGUAAGACAGUUCGGUCUCUAUCCUGUACAAUCGUUGAGAUUUGAGAAGUUUCGUCCCUAGUACGAGAGGACUGGGAUGAGGGAAUCCCUGGUGUGUCAGUUGUUUCUGAAAAAGAGCAUCGCUGAGUAGCUAGAUUCCCAACCGAUAACCGCUGAAAGCAUCUAAGUGGGAAGCGGUCUUCAAGAUUAGAUCUCGUGCAGUCGCAAGAUUGCGGAAGCCCCUGGUAGACUACCAGGUUGAUAGGCGGGCGGUGUAAGAGCUGUGAGGCUUUUAGCCAACCCGUACUAAUGGUU